AGUGAACGCUGGCGGCGUGCUUAACACAUGCAAGUCGAACGAGAACGGAUUAUAGCUUGCUAUAAUUGUCAGCUAAGUGGCGCACGGGUGAGUAAUGUAUAGGUAAUAUGCCUCUAACUAAGGGAUAACAAAUGGAAACGUUUGCUAAUACCUUAUACUCCUUAUUAACAGAAGUUAAUAAGGGAAAGAUUUAUUGGUAAGAGAUUAGCCUGUAUUGUAUCAGUUAGUUGGUGGGGUAAUGGCUUACCAAGACUAUGACACAUAACUGGUUUGAGAGGAUGAUCAGUCACACUGGAACUGAGAGACGGUCCAGACUCCUACGGGAGGCAGCAGUGGGGAAUAUUGCACAAUGGACGAAAGUCUGAUGCAGCAACGCCGCGUGGAGGAUGACACAUUUCGGUGCGUAAACUCCUUUUAUAUGGGAAGAUAAUGACGGUAUUAUAUGAAUAAGCACCGGCUAACUCCGUGCCAGCAGCCGCAGUAA
rnacentral:rRNA from 1 species